rnacentral:rRNA from 1 species
AACGAACGCUGGCGGCAUGCCUAACACAUGCAAGUCGAACGAACCCUUCGGGGUUAGUGGCGCACGGGUGCGUAACGCGUGGGAAUCUGCCCUUUGCUUCGGAAUAACUCAGGGAAACUUGUGCUAAUACCGGAUGAUGUCUUCGGACCAAAGAUUUAUCGGCAAGGGAUGAGCCCGCGUAGGAUUAGGUAGUUGGUAGGGUAAAGGCCUACCAAGCCGACGAUCCUUAGCUGGUCUGAGAGGAUGAUCAGCCACACUGGGACUGAGACGCGGCCCAGACUCCUACGGGAGGCAGCAGUGGGGAAUAUUGGACAAUGGGCGGAAGCCUGAUCCAGCAAUGACGCGUGAGUGAUGAAGGCCCUCGGGUCGUAAAGCUCUUUUACCAGGGAUGAUAAUGACGGUACCUGGAGAAUAAGCUCCGGCUAACUCCGUG